UACGUAGGGUGCAAGCGUUAAUCGGAAUUACUGGGCGUAAAGCGUGCGCAGGCGGUUUUGUAAGUCUGACGUGAAAUCCCCGGGCUCAACCUGUGAAUGGCGUUGGAGACUGCAAGGCUAGAAUCUGGCAGAGGGGGGUAGAAUUCCACGUGUAGCAGUGAAAUGCGUAGAGAUGUGGAGGAACACCGAUGGCGAAGGCAGCCCCCUGGGUCAAGAUUGACGCUCAUGCACGAAAGCGUGGGGAGCAAACAGG
rnacentral:rRNA from 1 species